CGCGUAGGUGGUAGUGUAAGUCUGGGGUGGAAUGCCGGGGCGUUAACCCUGGAAUUGCCUUGGAAACUGCAUUACUUGAGUCAGUGAGGGGAGGGUAGAAUUCCUGGUGUAGCGGUGAAAUGCGUAGAUAUCAGGAGGAAGGCCUGUGGCGAAGGCGGCCCUCUGGUGCUGGACUGACACUGAGGCGCGAAAGCGUGGGGAGCAAACAGGAUUAGAUACCCUGGUAGUCCACGCCCUAAACGGUGGGCACUAGGUGUAGGGCUCGUAAGGGUUCUGUGCCGAAGGGAAACCAUUAAGUGCCCCGCCUGGGGAGUACGGCCGCAAGGUUGAA
rnacentral:rRNA from 1 species